GGUUCCAUAGAGUAGAGGUUAGCGCGUCUGCUUUACAUGCAGAAGUUCCUGGAUGUGCACCCCAGUGGAGCCA
rnacentral:tRNA from 1 species